rnacentral:rRNA from 1 species
AGUCGAGUUGUUUGGGAAUGCAGCUCAAAAUGGGUGGUAAAUUCCAUCUAAAGCUAAAUAUUGGCGAGAGCCCGAUAGCGAACAAGUNCCGUGAGGGAAAGAUGAAAAGAACUUUGGAAAGAGAGUUAAACAGUACGUGAAAUUGCUGAAAGGGAAACGCUUGAAGUCAGUCGCGUCGUCCGGAGAUCAACCUUGCUUUUGCUGGGCGUACUCUCCGGUUGAUGGGCCAGCAUCAGUUUUGGCCACUGGAAAAGGGCGGAGGGAAUGUGGCAUCUUCGGAUGUGUUAUAGCCCUCCGUCGUAUACAGUGGCUGGGACUGAGGAACUCAGCACGCCGAAAGGCCGGGAUUCGUCCACGUUCGUGCUUAGGAUGCUGGCAUAAUGGCUUUAAUCGACCCGUCUUGAAACACGGACCAAGGAGUCUAACAUGCCUGCGAGUGUUUGGGUGGAAAACCCGAGCGCACAAUGAAAGUGAAAGUUGAGAUCCCUGUCGUGGGGAGCAUCGACGCCCGGACCUGACCUUUUGUGACGGAUCUGCGGUAGAGCAUGUAUGUUGGGACCCGAAAGAUGGUGANCUAUGCCUGAAUAGGGUGAAGCCAGAGGAAACUCUGGUGGAGGCUCGUAGCGAUUCUGACGUGCAAAUCGAUCGUCAAAUUUGGGUAUAGGGGCGAAAGACUAAU